rnacentral:rRNA from 1 species
AUGACAUUUUUGUUUGAAGAGGAAGCUUAUUUAUUUUAUAACAAGUAUGCUGAAACUAUCGGUUUCACCAUCAGAAGAAGUAGUGGCCAUAAAGUGAAGAACUCUUCUGUAUUCCAACAACGCACAUUUACAUACUCUCGUCAAGGCCACCGAGAAGAAGAUAAAAGAGAGGACACAUUCAGUUACAGUAGGCCUGAAACACGAUGUGGUUGUAAUGCUCAUAUGAAGAUAAGCCUUAAAAGUGGUUUUUAUUAUGUGUAUGAAUUCGAGGCAUCACAUAACCACACUCUUGCUCAUGGAAUCAUGGCCCAGUACUUGAGAUCUCAGAAAAAAGUAAUAGAAGCACAUAUAGCAAAUGCUGAGGUUGCAAAGUCAGUAGGCAUUUCAAAUAAAGCAACAUUCAAUUUGAUGGCCAAGGAAGCAUGUGGAAGUGAAAACCUUGGCUUUAUACGUGAAGAUUUGAAAAAUUGUUUGUACUCAAAGAGAACAAUAAAAGCAAAGGAUGGUGACACAGGGGGAGUAUUAGAGUACAUGGAGAAGAAGGUCUCAGAAGAUGUCAAGUUCUUUUAUUCAUUUCAAGUUGAUGAAGAUGAGUUGAUAACUAAUUUUUUUUGGACUGACUCGAAAAUGGUAUCAGACUAUGCAUUAUUCGGCGAUGUUAUAUGCUUUGACACCACAUACAGGAAACUAGAUGAUGGACGCCCAUUUGGUUUGAUUGUUGGGGUGAAUAAUCAUCAAAAAACUGUUGUCUUUGGCGCCGCACUUCUCUAUGAUGAAACUGCUGCAAGUUUUGCUUGGCUUUCAGAACUUUCAUAA